rnacentral:rRNA from 1 species
CAAUAGCGUAUAUUAAAGUUGUUGCGGUUAAAAAGCUCGUAGUUGGAUUUCUGCUGAGGACGACCGGUCCGCCCUUCGGGUGAGUAUCUGGUUUGGCCUUGGCAUCUUCUUGGUGAACGUAUCUGCACUUGACUGUGUGGUGCGGUACCCAGGACUUUUACUUUGAGGAAAUUAGAGUGUUUCAAGCAGGCAUACGCCUUGAAUACAUUAGCAUGGAAUAAUAAGAUAGGACCUCGGUUCUAUUUUGUUGGUUUCUAGAGCUGAGGUAAUGAUUAAUAGGGAUAGUUGGGGGUAUUCGUAUUCCGUUGUCAGAGGUGAAAUUCUUGGAUUUACGGAAGACGAACGACUGCGAAAGCAUUUACCAAGGAUGUUUUCAUUAAUCAAGAACGAAAGUUAGGGGAUCGAAGACGAUAGAUACCAU